rnacentral:rRNA from 1 species
UACGUAGGGGGCAAGCGUUGUCCGGAAUCAUUGGGCGUAAAGAGCGUGUAGGCGGCCAGAUAAGUCCGCUGUGAAAUCUCGAGGCUUAACCUCGAGCUGUCGGCGGAAACCAUCUGGCUAGAGUCCGGAAGAGGAGAAUGGAAUUCCCGGUGUAGCGGUGAAAUGCGCAGAUAUCGGGAAGAACACCCGUGGCGAAGGCGGUUCUCUGGGACGGUACUGACGCUGAGACGCGAAAGCGUGGGGAGCGAACAGG